rnacentral:rRNA from 1 species
GUUUAAGCAGCCGCGGUAAGACAGAGGGUGCAAACGUUGUUCGGAAUUACUGGGCGUAAAGCGCGUGUAGGCUGCCCCGAAAGUCAGGUGUGAAAGCCCUGGGCUCAACCCAGGAAGUGCACUUGAAACUUCGGUGGCUUGAGUUCUGGAGAGGAUGGCGGAAUUCUCGGUGUAGAGGUGAAAUUCGUAGAUAUCGAGAGGAACACCGGUGGCGAAGGCGGCUAUCUGGACAGUGACUGACGCUGAGACGCGAAAGCGUGGGGAGCAAACAGGAUUAGAUACCCUUGUAGUCC